rnacentral:lncRNA from 1 species
CCUCCAUUGUUUAAAUUAGCACAGUGUGAAAACUGAAGAGAGCUUGAACUAAUGAAAUGGAGGUAGAAAUUUAUUGGGGUUUUGUUAUUGACACAAAAUGCAGAGAUCCGAAGAUUUUGGGGUCAAUUUCGAUGAGAUGGAGGUGGAGGGUUUGUAUGAGAGAGUCUAGAGAGUUCCAGUAGAAAAAUAGAAGAUUGAGUGGGAGGGGAGCGAGGGGAGCGGUUAGGAAGAACUUGUUAAGUUGGUUAAUCGGCGAAUGGACUGUUAAUACGUAUGUGAGAUUAUAUGUAUAUCAGUAUUCUAUUCGUCAAUUGAUUAAUUUAUAAAAAAAAAAAAAAUUAUGAUAAUCGGAUCCGACUGGAAGAUUUUAUUCUAGACACUUCAAAUUUUAGUUGUUUUAAGAGGAGGAUGAUUCUAGAC